rnacentral:rRNA from 1 species
CAGUCGCCGCGGUAAUACGUAGGGUGCGAGCGUUAAUCGGAAUUACUGGGCGUAAAGCGUGCGCAGGCGGUUUGUUAAGACAGAUGUGAAAUCCCCGGGCUUAACCUGGGAACUGCAUUUGUGACUGGCCGGCUAGAGUAUGGCAGAGGGAGGUGGAAUUCCACGUGUAGCAGUGAAAUGCGUAGAUAUGUGGAGGAACACCGAUGGCGAAGGCAGCCUCCUGGGCCAAUACUGACGCUCAUGCACGAAAGCGUGGGGAGCAAACAGGAUUAGAUACCCCGGUAGUCCCUGUCUCUUAUAA